GUCUGCAUGGGGCGUUUGUACUCCAUAAAACCCGCUAUAAGUAAUGGUAUUUCACCAGGAACUCUUAUGGAACAUACAGUGCUUCCUUUACGAAGACAGUUAAAGGCAGCAGGUCUGCAGGCACAAGAAGGACCUAUUGAGGCCAUUGGAAGUUCCUCUUUACUUUAGCAGGAAAUCCUGAAGGACAAUGUGAGGCCAUGAGAUUAAGGCAUAAGGACUUUGCUGUGCACUAGGAGAUGAGCAGCUUUGGCUCAACAGGAGAAAAAUGAAGGAGUGGGAGGAGCGUAACUGAGAUGCUGUGAGACAUAAACGUGCUGUUCAUGUGUGAAACCUACUGUUGCUGAAUUUAAACGGUUUUGUGAAGAACAGAAGGAUGAAACUUAUUCGUAGCCUAUUGAAAAGCUUGAUGUCAGUUACUGUAGCCAAAGGUUGCAGUAACCAAAUAGAGUCUAAAAUGAUGAUUACUUUUUCAUAUCAGACCAGAUCGUGUGUAUGGCUCUUUUCAUUUAAUAAGAAAUUAUUUGAAAACUGCAUUUUACGUUUACUUGGGUUAUCUUUGCUUUAUAAUACACUUUGUUUGUUGAUUGGAAACAUUUAAUUGUGGCAAAAAGUAAAUUUGCAAAGGUCCCAGUCAUGACAUCCCAGAGAUGAAAGAAAAUCAUUCAUAUUUUCAUGUUAAAGACGUGAUUGUUAAUGCAAUAAUUUCAUGAUUAUUACAAAUAAUAUAAGGAAAUAAGAUGUUUUCAUUAAUUUUUAAAGCUAAA